rnacentral:rRNA from 1 species
CACGUAGGGCGCGAGCGUUGUCCGGAAUUAUUGGGCGUAAAGAGCUCGUAGGCGGCCUGUUGCGUCCGCUGUGAAAGCCCGGGGCUUAACCCCGGGUCGGCAGUGGAUACGGGCAGGCUAGAGGUAGGUAGGGGAGAAUGGAAUUCCCGGUGUAGCGGUGAAAUGCGCAGAUAUCGGGAGGAACACCGGUGGCGAAGGCGGUUCUCUGGGCCUUACCUGACGCUGAGGAGCGAAAGCGUGGGGAGCAAAAGGG